GAUGAACGCUGGCGGCGUGCCUAAUACAUGCAAGUCGAGCGAAUGGAUUAAGAGCUUGCUCUUAUGAAGUUAGCGGCGGACGGGUGAGUAACACGUGGGUAACCUGCCCAUAAGACUGGGAUAACUCCGGGAAACCGGGGCUAAUACCGGAUAACAUUUUGAACCGCAUGGUUCGAAAUUGAAAGGCGGCUUCGGCUGUCACUUAUGGAUGGACCCGCGUCGCAUUAGCUAGUUGGUGAGGUAACGGCUAACCAAGGCAACGAUGCGCAGCCGACGUGGGAGGGUGAUCGGCCACACUGGGACUGAGACACGGCCCAGACUCCUACGGGAGGCAGCAGUAGGGAAUCUUCCGCAAUGGACGAAAGUCUGACGGAGCAACGCCGCGUGAGUGAUGAAGGCUUUCGGGUCGUAAAACUCUGUUGUUAGGGAAGAACAAGUGCUAGUUGAAUAAGCUGGCACCUUGACGGUACCUAACCAGAAAGCCACGGCUAACUACGUGCCAGCCGCCGCCGUAA
rnacentral:rRNA from 1 species